rnacentral:sRNA from 1 species
CUUCUCCCAGCGAUACUUCCAGUGCAAUCCUGAAGCCCUGUCCUCAGAGGACGGCGCCCACACGCUGACCUGUGCGCUCAUGCUGCUCAACACGGAUCUCCACGGCCAUAACAUCGGGAAGCGCAUGACCUGCGGGGACUUCAUCGGGAACCUGGAGGGCCUCAAUGAUGGCGGCGACUUCCCUAGGGAGCUGCUCAAGGCCUUGUACAGCUCCAUCAAGAAUGAGAAGCUGCAGUGGGCCAUGGCGAGCAGAGGCCAGAACUGAAGCGGGGGUCGCGGCUCCAUGGCCAGCCCCCUCUGAGGUGAUCACACCUGCAGAGACGAGGAGGAGCUGAGACGCUCUCUGUCUGAGUUGGCCGACCCCAACCCCAAGGUCAUCAAGCGGAUCAGCGGGGGCAGUGGCAGUGGCUCCAGCCCUUUCCUGGACCUGACUCCCGAGCCUGGGGCUGCCGUCUACAAGCACGGGGCCCUGGUGCGAAAGGUGCACGCAGACC